GACGGAGGAUGCAAGCGUUAUCCGGAAUGAUUGGGCGUAAAGCGUCCGCAGGUGGCAGUUCAAGUCUGCUGUCAAAGACCGGGGCUUAACUUCGGAAAGGCAGUGGAAACUGAACAGCUAGAGUAUGGUAGGGGCAGAGGGAAUUCCUGGUGUAGCGGUGAAAUGCGUAGAGAUCAGGAAGAACACCGGUGGCGAAAGCGCUCUGCUAGGCCGCAACUGACACUGAGGGACGAAAGCUAGGGGAGCGAAUGGG
rnacentral:rRNA from 1 species